UUUAUUUAAUCCAUUUUAGAAUAAGACUGUAACGUAACAAAAUGUGGAAAAAGUGGGGUCUGAAUACUUUUCAAAUGCACUGUAAUCUGGUUACAAAAAAAAACGUAUCCUCUCCUCAAUCUUUGCCUCCAUCCAUCACUCCAUCUUUCCCUCACGCUUUCCCUCUCUUUCCAGCUCUCUCUCUCCUCCCUACCCAACCUCUGGGUAUCUUGGAAGAUGUUGUUGAACUUUCCCCAGCCCAUCUGUCAAUCAAAGGGCACAAACAUCCUGACAUUCUAGAAGGCUAAGGUUGCAGUGAUGAAGCCAGCCCAUCUUUAGCCCUGCAGCCGUUCUUAACCCAUAUAAGGUCAAAGGUCAUACAGGCAUACAUACUGGUUUAAACUGGUUGUCAUUACUCCAACCAGUUGUAAAUUGGUCAUAACAAUGUUGCAACAACAUGACAAUCAGCUUUGGUCCAGUCUGAAGAUCCAGUCUGAAGGUUCAGUCUGAAGAUCCAGUCUGAAGAUCCAGUCUGAAGAUCCAGUCUGAAGGUCCAGUCUGAAGAUUCCAGUUCUAGAUCCAGUUCUAGAUCCAGUCUGAAGAUCUAGUCUGAAGAUUCCAGUUGUAGGUCCAGUUGUAGAUCCAAUCUGAAGAUUCCAGUUGUAGAUCCAAACUGAAGAUCCAGUCUGAAGGUCCAGUCUGAAGAUUCCAGUUGUAGGUCCAGUCUGAAGUUUCCAGUUGUAGGUCCAGUUGUAGAUCCAAUCUCUGAAGAUCCAGUCUGAAGAUUCCAGUUGUAGAUCCAGUCUGAAGGUCCAGUUGUAUAUCCAGUCUGAAGAUUCCAGUUGUAGAUCCAAUCUGAAAAUCCAGUCUGAAGGUCCAGUCUGAAGGUCCAGUCUGAAGAUUUCAGUUGUAGAUCCAGUCUGAACGUCCAGUUGUAGGUCCAGUCUGAAGGUCCAGCUGAGGGUCCAGCUGAAGGUCCAGUCUGAAGGUCCAGUCUGAAGGUCCAGUCUGAAGAUUUCAGUUGUAGAUCCAGUCUGAACGUCCAGUUGUAGGUCCAGUCUGAAGGUCCAGCUGAGGGUCCAGCUGAAGGUCCAGUCUGAAGGUCCAGUCUGAAGGUCCAGUCUGAAGAUUUCAGUUGUAGAUCCAGUCUGAACGUCCAGUUGUAGGUCCAGUCUGAAGGUCCAGCUGAGGGUCCAGCUGAAGGUCCAGUCUGAAGGUUCAGUCUGAAGGUCCAGCUGAAGGUCCAGUCUGAACUGCAGAUAGAGGAAAAAAGGGGAGAGCUAUAUAGACAGAGACAGACAGAGAGAGAGAGAGACAGAGAGAGAGAGACAAAGACAGAGAGAGAGAGAGACAGAGAGAGAGAGACAAAGACAGAUAGAGAGAGAGAGAUGUAAAGAGGAAUAGAGGCA
rnacentral:lncRNA from 1 species